rnacentral:lncRNA from 1 species
CAAUGCUACGGCGUCUUUUAACUGACGGCAAAUGAUCAACAGAACCAUGCUUUUUGUGGACUGUCGUAAUAGUUCCUAAUCCUCUUUUGCAAGGAGAAGUUUUGUCCAGCAUAUCUGGGCUUGUUCGAGGAUGUUGUAAUGGUGAGGCUGAUCGCCUACUUAGUGAUUCUCCAACAUUAAAAGAUGGAGGAGUUGUAGGGGUUAUCGAGGAUUCUUCAGGUUCCUUUGCUUUUUUCAAUGGACCAUCGGAUUGUAAUGCAGCAUCGGGUGAAAUGGGCGAUAAGACGUCUGCAAUGCCCACCUUAGAAUCAGUGUGUAAAUCAGCAAUAUCAGUUUUCUUGUCCCUAUUAGAGGAAUCUUCCUCAACAGAGGGUAGUGGAGAUUGUAAAUCUUUAGUUGGUUUUUUCUCCUUCACAGAUGGCUGUAACUUCGGCUCCAUGACUACAUCGAUUCCUACACUUUCUGUGGGUAAUGACUUAACAGCAGGCCAUUUUUGCAAAAUACUAAGACGGUACUUAUCUAACCAAAACUCUUUCAAGGAUUUGGCAUAGACCGAUGUGGGGUUUGAAGGUUGCGGUAAUGAUUCAGCAGGGCUAGGGGUAGAAGGGGUUGAGGAAGGUGUCAGAGACAAACGGUCUUUUGCUACACUGACACGGUUUGCAGUAGAAGCGCGGCGGGCCGCUUUAAUAUAUUUAGUAACUCUGGAAAAAACACAGUUUUUCUUAUCCUGUGAGGCACAUUCGUUAAACGACAGGAAGGUAGAAAGCACUUCUGAAAGUAAUUCCAACUCUUCCAUAUUGAAGGAGGGUCGCGACAUACCAGGCGCAAACUGGCGAAAUGGAUGGGAAAUAUCGAGAGUCCAAUCCCCAAUAAUCUCUGUUUCCGGAGCUAUGUGAGUAGUUGAAUAGAGGAUAAAUCGAGGAACACUGUUAGACCCAUUCAUGUAAACACUUGAAACGACGGAGUUUGACUGACAACCUUUACGCGCAAACCUCGCUUUUGAACCAGCAACCCGUGAGUCAACAACAAGCUGAGAAUUUGAGUCAAAAAAGACAUGUGGCUUAGGAGCCCCCAAAAUAUUGUACUGGUUUUUGGGAUCACUUUUGUAUUCAUUCUGCGUACAAACCCUUCCUUUCACCUCCAUAAUGGGUGUAUUUGGAGGAAUUUCGCAAGUUGACACCAAACCAAAGCGACUACAACAAAACUUUGAAGAUGAUAUAGGUACGACUUGGCAUCCAUCCAUUAAAACUUCGGAUUCAUCUAAAUUCUUUAAAUCCAAAUUCUUAGAAUACUCAAGCGCAGAUGCAGAAAAGGUGUUUGAUUCCAAAGGGACGUAUUCCAAGUGAAACGAAUACACAUAUUCGUUAGAAGCCUCGGUGAUUGGAGCCUCUGGUGGGUUGUUAAGGUGGUUGGAUCUUCGUCUGCGAUUCUGAGAAUGUGGAGCAUGAGCAUUGGGCAAUGUUGCACCAGUCACACUGUUACGAUAAGACCCCGAGUUCGAAGAGUUGGUAGACUGUGAAAAUAAAGCGCCAUUAGCGCCUGUGUUAUUGCCUUGUCUCGGUGACGCAGAGUGUGUAGGACUAGCACCAUUUUUGCCAAAACUAGUUCUUCUCUUGUUGUUGGAAGAACGGGAUCGCGAUAAUAUCCUAGACUGCUCUUCUUCGCGCUGUAACCUAGCUAGUUGAAUUUUAUGCGCCUUGUCGGCAUCGAUAGGACGAGGUUGGCAUUGUUCACAAAAAUAUUUUUCAGGAACAUUAUUUGCAUCUAUGUUUACACAAACGGCGUGUUGCCAUACCUCGCAACUUUCGCAUUGGAUGGUGAAUCCGUCAUCAUCCUCGAAUGGACAAACGCAUCGUAUUUUCCACAUGCUAACUUAACCAAAGAGAAAACGAUCAACUUAUAACAAAGUAAAGAAGUAUUUCAUAAACGCUAAUUUCUGUACAGGAGCAAUUUAACCUUGGAAAUUACUGCUUUCUUAUGAAAGCAAAGAUUUUAGCCCCAACUAUACCAAUGGCUAUCUCGAUUAUCUGAACUCUCCUAAAACUAGGAAUCUAGUAUAUAAAUACUCGAAAAACCAUGUAAGUUGAACAAAUACUCUGUUUUCAAUUUGCAUACGCGAUUUUGGUAGUUGAUACGACGUCGCGAUUAUUCCGCUCUUCAACAUUUCCAUCCACCGAGUGUAAACACACGUCCCAUAAACCACGUUUCCGCAGUCUAACGUCUCCUCGGUAAAAACAAAGAGAAGAAGAUGUUGAAGAAUAGUUCAUUUCUCUAUGAAACUUCUCAUUUUACAUAUUUUAGAAGGUAAUAAAACUGUCAAGGAGUUUUUAAUGAGUCUUGCUAAGAAACCAUUUUGAAAAAAAAAAAUCAUCUACUAAGACAAUGAGUUGAGAUAAACGGCAGGUGCAAUGUGUCAGUAGUUAGCUAAUGUAUGGUGUUAGUGAGUGUGCGCAAGCAAUCGAAAACGUCAAUAACGGACUCGCAACUCUAAAGAAUUAACAACCUUUAGCAUUGGACUGUAGGGUUUAAACAGCUUUACAAGGAGAGGGAUCUGUUUUCAUGAGUUCCACAGUGAUAUGAGACUUGAAUAGGCUUGUCAACUAUAGAGAAAUGUAUAUGCAAGGAAACCAGCAUAAAUGACAAAGUCUUUACUGUUUUAUGACUUACUAAAUAUACCUCAUGGAGAAUUGAAUCCAAAUAAUGAAGCAAUGUUCUAUCGUUCUAGUAGAAUUUUACAUUUCGAAGAGGCAUUUGUGAUAAACGAAACUAAUAAU